AUGUAUGAGACAGAAGAGAAGAAAAAUGGAAAAAAAGAGAUUUCUUUUAUUUAACAAUUGUACAAAUGAUAAAACAAUACCAAAUGCUAUACACAGAACAAGAAGAAAACUAUGUCAAACAGAAUGAUCCUUGGCAGAAUAUACCUUAACUCUAUACAAAUAGAAUCUGGAGGGCUCAGUAGCAAUAGUACUGUGAAACAAUGUUAUUCUCUGUAAACUCUUUUCCUGUGUUAUAUCCAUUUAAAACACUUGUGCUUUUGCCUACACAAAUAAAUACCAUAGUAAUGUGUUACUGAAAUCAAUAAUCUAAAUAUUGAAUCCUUAAUCUAUAAAUUGCAGCAUAAACAAAUUUUUAGUCUUAAAAUUUUAAAAAUAUUUCAAACAAACUGAAACCCUGUUUUAACACUAUUCAUCAAAUCAGUGAAAGCCUAAAGGAAGAAUGGUAACAGAAAUACUAAGGAAUUUUGUAUAUCUCAUCAAAAGGGGUAUGUAUCUCAAAUAUAGCAUUAUAACAAGGUUCCAUAAUGGACAUGAUAUAGAUAUUUGUAGGUGAAACACAUCAGUUAUAAACACAUACAUAAACAGCAUGACAAAAUUAUCAGUGAACUAAAAAUUUUGAGACACCCUGUAUUGUGUAUGUGUAUACAUAUAAAUGUGAAAAUAGAUGGAUCACAUCUAUUGGUACUAUAAGUGUGAAAAUCACACAUAUGGUGAAAUUUACAUUUGUUUGGAUUUCAUUUGUACUUUUCACCAAAACAAAUAUAAUUAUUCUAAUACUCAAUUCUUUAAGUAGCUAGGGAAUGUGUAAUGGUUGAUGAGGAAAUUUUAUCCCAAGCUGUAAAGAUAACUAAUACAUAUUUCUCCCAUGCCUUUUCUCUAAUUCAAGAAAGAAAUUAUACAAAUAUAUAUUAAGCGCCUCCUUUGUGCAAGGCACUGUUCUAGCAUCUGGAGUUACGAUAAAUAUUACCUACUAAUAGACACUUAAAAUAUUUUUCUAUGGACCAAAUAUCAAGUCAUGUGCACAUGUAACUAAUUUUUCAAAUGAAAACUAAUUCCUUUGUACACUCUCUUUCUGUGUAAUAUCUUAAUAUCUAAUAGGUAUAUACACUAUUCCUAGGAUUUUGCUUAACUUUUUUUUGGUAAGCAUAAAUGUAGAUAUUCCCAUUAACAAUUGAUAUAGAAUUCACAUGAUAUACAACAUAAGGAUUACUUUGAGCAACCAGCUUCUUCUGUCCUUCCCAGACAUAAUUUUCAUAAAAAUUUUAGUUUUGUUCACAAUUUAACCAGUUUCAUCCAUUCCUGUGGUUGAAAUACUAAAAGUUAACCAGGAAAUCACAGAACAUAAUUAUCUGAGACUGAUCAAUUUGUAUUUUGGUAACCUUAUAAUUAUUAUUGAGUUCAUUGAGCAAUAACCAUUAUAGCUUUACUGUGGAUUGUUCAUGCCCCCAAAAGUCUUUUUAUUUAAAGGACAGAAAUACUAAAUUAAGCACCUGCCUGGUGCAGAACUUUCCAGUAUCAUGCAGAGGGUUUUAAAUUUUGAAAUAGAAGUGGAUUAAUGCUGAGGAAUAUGUGACUGUCCUAAAGCAACAUGAGAUAUGUCAAGUAUUUGAUAAUAUUUUGAUUUACUCUACAUUCUCCUGUCUUGACUUUAUAUUUAGACAUUUUUCUCUCUCUGCCCAUAUAGUUAUUCUCUAUUCAUUUCUUUGACCUAUUCUUAUAAAAAAGGCCAUAUCAGAUAGUUAAGGAGAAGGGAACAAGGAAAGGUAUAUAGUAGAAAAUGAAAUGGGAUGGUACAGGUUGCUACUUUGAGCAUGAAAUGCCUUUAAAUGAAUUCAUUUCAGAGUAUUAAAAGCUCCCUGAGAUUGACAAAAGUAGUCUCAGUCAAUGCUGAAGCCCUUUUUUUUUUUUUUUUUUUUUUUGUUUGUUUUGUUUUUGAUGCUGGACUCUGGUAUGAAGGAAUAUUUUCAGAACUGGGAACAUAUUUGGAGAAUACAAGCAAAAAGUCACAAAGAAAUGAGAAGCUAAAAAGGCACUACUUAAUUCAUCUUUGAGAUAGCAAUGCACAGAUAAGUGGACAGUAGAAAUGCUUUUGUUGUGGCCUUACAAAACAGGCUUAAAUUCAUUUGUUGAAUUAAAAAAAAAGAAAUGUAGCAUCGUUUGCCUUCAUUCCUGCUGGUUGAGAGAUAUACUGAAUGUUUCUGUGAGCCUUCCUAGCCUUUUAGGACUUAAUAUAUCAACUCUGAGUAGAUUCAGAAAUUUUCCACUGUAUAAUCCAAUCCAAAUAGAUAGUAUCCGUAACUUUUCUGCUUUAUAUUUGUUUAAGUGCUGAAUUUUAAAUAAUUUUAUCAGUAACAUAAUCAAAAUACAAUUCUAUUGUUUCAAAGAUGAUGAAUGAUUUUUAAUGAUGUGGACCAAUCUUAUCCUUUUUACACUUCAUUUCAGUAUUGAAUGAUGCUACUAUUUUCUUUAUGCUUUUUGAGAAAUAUCAACAUUUUAGGAAAAGUCAUGUAAGCCAAAUAUUUAUCCUGCAUUUUAAUAUUAUCACAUAAAGUAUCAAAAUACAUAUAGUUAUAAUGAUUCCCAUUUCUUCAAAAUGAAAGCAUAUAUAGCUCUGUGUGUGUGUGCCUAUACUGAUGGUACUGAUUUUCCUCCUUUAAAAAAAUGGUUUUUAUUUUGUGAUUUCAUUGGUGUAAGGAAUUCCCAGUGAAAAGAUUCCCUCUACCAAGGCAGGGCAAGAACUGUUGUAAAACACAAACUGAAAGUUAACAGGAACAUUGAGAGGUUAAAUAUAUUGCAGUGUCCCAUAGCCAUUAUGUGUCAGAGCUGGGAUUUAAAGUCAGUUCUUAGCUGGCUAUCUAUUCACCAAAUUGAGAUGCUUUACUACCUGUGGUUCUGCUUCUUAGCAUCUAUGAUAUGUCAUGAGCAAGUUACUCUCUAUGGUCUCAGUUUCCUCAUAUGUAAAAUGAAAGUAUUCUUCUCUAAGGUCCUUUCUGGCUAUAUGACUGUGGACAUUUAAAACAAAGGUGCAUUUGUGUAUAUAUUAUAUAUACAUAUUUGCAUAUACACACAUAUACAUAUAUAUAUAUCAUAUAUAGAUAUAUGUACACACACAUACACAGAGAAAAAGGGAGGAGAGACACAGAAACAGAGACAAUGAGGCAGAAUGGCAUCCUGGAUAGAGAAGUGGUCAUAAAUUGUGAUGUUCUGAAUUAAAAUCCCAGCUUUGGCAAAUAUUGGCUGUAUGGCUUUAAGCAAGAUACUUAAUAUCUCAGUGACUCAGGUAACCCUUUCAAACUUUAAGUCGAAGAAAAAAAUGAUUAUCUUCACUGAUAGAAUUUCCUCACAGAUUUCCCUAAAACAAUUAAAAGGCAGGUCUGGUUGGAGAAAAAAAAAAAGGUGACAACAUACAUAUUGUGUAAAUAUCAUCAAGGACACAUAUGAUUUAAAAAGAAGGCAGAUCAGUCAAGUAUUAAAAAGGACAACAGCUGUUUAGUCAGUGUGAUAAACUUAUAAUUUCUAAAUAGUAAAAGAAAAAAACAUGCUGGAACAGAUGCAUUAUGGAAGAUAUUUGGAAAAAUAUGGACAAAAUAAUAUAUAUUGUGAAAGAGAUGCCAUGUACAUAGUUCUCUACAUGCAGUGGGUACUUAAUAAAUGUUUCUUACUUUUAUAUAAGUGAAGAAAGUACCUACUGACCUAUCACAAGUCCAUCAAAUUAAAUGAGUCAUAUACAUUUAAUAUUUGACUUUGGCCUUUUCCAGAUAGACCUUUCAAAAUAAGUUAUUUUUUCUUUGUAUUCAAUGGACAUUUGUUAUGUAUUUGUAUAAAGACCAUCUUAAUGGCUUGGAGAUUUAUACACGUGUGUGUGUGUGUGUGUGUGUAUGUGUAUUGUGCAAGUAUAUAGAAAUAUACACACAAUACGUAUAUCCAUAUACAU
ensembl:lncRNA